UGCAGAUCCAUCCCUGACCCACUUGCAAAGAUGCUGAGCUGCCUCUUCAGCACAGGAGUGCUCAGGAAAUUAUGGGUGUGUGACCUCAGCUGGGCUAGGUGAGAAUCUAGUGAUGAUAAAAUCAGGUCAGACACAGGAAGCGAUGGACACGGACACCUGUGAGUCACUUGAGAGUGAGGCCCAGCAGACUGAUGGGCUGGAUUAGCAGGUACAAAAUGUGCCUGGGAGAUACUAAAGCAGGAAAUGUGGCUGGCGUGCUGAAAAACCCAUUGCAUGCAGAUUUCAGAGCCGUGCACAGACAGAGGUGGAAUUUAGAAUGCUUGCUCCUGGAUCUGGAACCUGGCAUUGUUAAAGGAGAUGUUCCAGCUGCUGGAAGGAUGAAGAAGGGAGAACUUAGAAAACAAACUUAGUUGCUUGAGAUAACAAAGACUACACCAGCAUCUCUAGGAUUCACAGCAAAGAAUUACGCUUCAUGUCAGUUUUGGUUUCCAGAAAACAAUCUGUUGGUUAAUUCCCAGGUCAAAAGGACUCCUUUGAAGACUCUCUGUGCCUUGACCGCUGCCAUAAAAAGCAAUAUUGAAAGGGUGAUGGGCCUGUGCUUGAGCACAGCUCUCUUUGUGCUUAGGCUUAAGAAGAAAAAGCUGGUCCAUGGACAAUA